ACCUGUUGUAUUCAUCAUUUCACUGUAAGGUCUACUACACCUGUUGUAUUCAGCAUUUCACUGUAAGGUCUACUACACCUGUUGUAUUCAGCAUUUCACUGUAAGGUCUACCUACACCUGUUGUAUUAAGCAUUUCACUGUAAGGUCUACUACACCUGUUGUAUUCAGCAUUUCACUGUAAGGUCUACUACACCUGUUGUAUUCAGCAUUUCACUGUAAGGUCUACUACACCUGUUGUAUUCAGCAUUUCACUGUAAGGUCUACUACACCUGUUGUAUUCAGCAUUUCACUGUAAGGUCUACUACACCUGUUGUAUUCAGCAUUUCACUGUAAGGUCUACUACACCUGUUGUAUUCAGCAUUUCUCUGUAAGGUCUACUACACCUGUUGUAUUCAUCAUUUCACUGUAAGGUCUACUACACCUGUUGUAUUCAGCAUUUCACUGUAAGGUCUACUACACCUGUUGUAUUCAGCAUUUCACUGUAAGGUCUACUACACCUGUUGUAUUCAGCAUUUCACUGUAAGGUCUACCUACACCUGUUGUAUUCAGCAUUUCACUGUAAGGUCAACACCUGUUGUAUUCAGCAUUUCACUGUAAGGUCUACUACACCUGUUGUAUUCAGCAUUUCACUGUAAGGUCUACUACACCUGUUGUAUUCAGCAUUUCACUGUAAGGUCUACUACACCUGUUGUAUUCAGCAUUUCACUGUAAGGUCUACACCUGUUGUAUUCAGCAUUUCACUGUAAGGUCUACACCUGUUGUAUUCAGCAUUUCACUGUAAGGUCUACUACACCUGUUGUAUUCAGCAUUUCACUGUAAGGUCUACUACACCUGUUGUAUUCAGCAUUUCACUGUAAGGUCUACUACACCUGUUGUAUUCAGCAUUUCACUGUAAGGUCUACUACACCUGUUGUAUUCAGCAUUUCACGGUAAGGUCUACUACACCUGUUGUAUUCAGCAUUUCACUGUGAGGUCUACUACACCUGUUGUAUUCAGCAUUUCACUGUAAGGUCUACUACACCUGUUGUAUUCAGCAUUUCACUGUAAGGUCUACUACACCUGUUGUAUUCAGCAUUUCACUGUAAGGUCUACUACACCUGUUGUAUUCAGCAUUUCACUGUAAGGUCUACACCUGUUGUAUUCAGCAUUUCACUGUAAGGUCUACUACACCUGUUGUAUUCAGCAUUUCACUGUAAGGUCUACACCUGUUGUAUUCAGCAUUUCACUGUAAGGUCUACUACACCUGUUGUAUUCAGCAUUUCACUGUAAGGUCUACUACACCUGUUGUAUUCAGCAUUUCACUGUAAGGUCUACUACACCUGUUGUAUUCAGCAUUUCACUGUAAGGUCUACUACACCUGUUGUAUUCAGCAUUUCACUGUGAGGUCUACUACACCUGUUGUAUUCAGCAUUUCACUGUAAGGUCUACUACACCUGUUGUAUUCAGCCUUUCACUGUGAGGUCUACUACACCUGUUGUAUUCAGCCUUUCACUGUGAGGUCUACUACACCUGUUGUAUUCAGCAUUUCACUGUGAGGUCUACUACACCUGUUGUAUUCAGCAUUUCACUGUAAGGUCUACUACACCUGUUGUAUUCAGCAUUUCACUGUAAGGUCUACUACACCUGUUGUAUUCAGCAUUUCACUGUAAGGUCUACUACACCUGUUGUAUUCAGCAUUUCACUGUAAGGUCUACUACACCUGUUGUAUUCAGCAUUUCACUGUAAGGUCUACUACACCUGUUGUAUUCAGCAUUUCACUGUAAGGUCUACUACACCUGUUGUAUUAAGCAUUUCACUGUAAGGUCUACUACACCUGUUGUAUUCAGCAUUUCACUGUAAGGUCUACUACACCUGUUGUAUUCAGCAUUUCACUGUGAGGUCUACUACACCUGUUGUAUUCAGCAUUUCACUGUAAGGUCUACUACACCUGUUGUAUUUGGUGCACAUGACAAAUAAACUUUGAUUUGACUCCUUAUUGAUGUCACCUGUUAAAUCCACUUCAAUCAGUGUAGAUGAAGGGGAGGAGACGGGUUAAAGAAGGAUUUUUAAGCCUUGAGACAAUUGAGACAUGGAUUGUG